rnacentral:lncRNA from 10 species
CCUGUAGUCCUAGUACUACUAAGCUGAGGUGGGAGGAUCGUGGGAGGUGGAGAUUGCAGUAAGCCUAGAUCACACCACUGCACUCCAGCCUGGGCGACAGAGUGAGACCCUGUCUCAAAAACAAACCGACAAACAACAAAAAAUAAAACAAAAAACAAGGGGAGAAGAUGACCAUCUGCAAGCCAAGGAGAGAGCCCUCAGAAGGAAGUCUAUUGUGCUGACACCUCGAACUGGAACUAUUGUAACCGCCCAAGGGGUUCACGUUUCCUGCUGCCUAGACAGAGCCCAUACAUCAAAA